rnacentral:lncRNA from 1 species
UAGGGGGCUUUAUGAGCAAAGCAGAGAGAAGUCAUUAGGGCUGCUGUUUAACAAAGAGAAACUUCCUGCUCCUACCGCAUUAUCAAAGAGCUGCUUUUCAACUGUAUUGCACUUCUUUGAUGCCUGAAGGCCUCCGAUGUUUUGCUCACAUCCUGUCAUGAUAUUUAAUGAUGCCUCUCAUGUGCACCAGAACUGCGGCCCAGCUUAGCAUCGUUUGGGGAAAGGCGUUGUAACAUGACAAGUUUUUGAUGUGGUUCCUCGCACGGGCUAGAAGAUACUUGUCCUUCUAGACAGAGCCCAGUGGAUAGCAGCUGAAGAUGUGAGACAGUCACACAGCCACCAUUUGACCAUUUUGACCACCAUUGGGAAAAAAAAAGACAGAGCACAGCAAGAUAAGACAUUCGCAGGGGCAUUCAACUACCAACGAGUGACCAGAAGUCUCCAGUUAUUGCCCUAAAUAUAUUGUUACCUUGGACUCCAGCAGAGUUUCUGCAAAACUGAAACUGCCCCAAGCUGAAACAAUCAUCUCUGGAUACUGGAUUGCUACUUCAAGGGAUAAAGACUUCUUCAGUGUCAUCUUACACAACCAGAACUGAGAUAAUGGUCAACAUUAGCCACAGGAAUAACUCCAUAAAAGCCGUCCCUUCCUUUUGAGGAUGGGGUAUUCCGAUUUUCAUCAGUGUUGUGCUCUUCAAGCUGAAGUCCUUCCCCAUUCUCUCUUGCUUUCUAACUCUGCCUAAUAAAUCAGACAGCGCCUCUUACGCAUCCUGAAAUGAUUUUCUGCAGUAAUAUGUCAAGAACCUGCCAGGGCCACUUGAGGUCACCAUCUUUUCUUUAAAGAGAUCUCCUUAAACCCCGUCUUAGGGUCAGUGGAAUGGUCAUUUGAACAGAGCAGUGGUCUUGACCGUAUUCUGCCUCACACAUACCCUGGAUGUAUACAACAUACAUGCCAAUGAGUCCACUCAUGUUUUAACAGAAUUUAAACCAUUUUGCAGGAAAAUAAAGCAAAUAGA